UGACCCCUGGAGUCAGGUGUGGGUGUAGCCUGUGCACCAAUCACUAGGCGACCCACUCAUGAUUUCAGAGGUCA
rfam:Salmo salar isolate Sally breed double haploid chromosome ssa22, whole genome shotgun sequence.